GAUGAACGCUGGCGGCGUGCCUAAUACAUGCAAGUCGAGCGAACAGACGAGGAGCUUGCUCCUCUGACGUUAGCGGCGGACGGGUGAGUAGCACGUGGAUAACCUACCUAUAAGACUGGGAUAACUUCGGGAAACCGGAGCUAAUACCGGAUAAUAUAUUUAACCGCAUGCUUCAAUAGUGAAAGACGGUUUUGCUGUCACUUAUCGACGCAUCCGCGCCGCAUUAGCUAGUUGGUAAGGCAACGGCAUACCAAGGCAACGAUGCGUAGCCGACCUGAGAGGGUGGUCGGCCACACUGGAAGUGAGACACGGUCCAGACUCCUACGGGAGGCAACGGUAGGGACUCUUCCGCAAUGGGCGAGAGCGUGACGGAGCAACGCCGCGUGAAUGAUGAAGGUCUUCGGAUCGUAAAACUCUGUUAUUAGGGAAGAACAAAUGUGUAAGUAACUAUGCACAUCUUGACGGUACCUAAUCAGAAAGCCACGGCUAACUACGUG
rnacentral:rRNA from 1 species